AGCAGAAACAUAAUUAACAUUAAGACAAAUGUUUCUGAACAUCUUAAUAGGGUAAGCUUUGCCAGGAAAGAGAAGCAAGAAGCAAGUAUCAGGGAUUACUGAAAAGACUGCUCUGCAACAACCUCUUGUUAGCCUUCUGUAAUCUUUGCCUGAUGCUAAUUUCAACGCAUCGAAACAUCCUGGUAUGCUAUUUAUAUUUUCUGUCGGACAAUAAUUACCAGCUUCUGAUUGUAGGAAAACCAAUGCCGAGACUAGGGCUAACACCAUAAACAUCACGUUGGUUUGCUUUAGUUUCAUCAUUUAAAACAAAAAAAAAAAGAUUCUUCAGAAAACAAAAACAAAAAAUUGUUUGAAAGGGAAUAAACAUUACGUUGGUUUGCUUUAGUUUCAUCAUUAAAAAAAAAAAAGAUUCUUCAGAAAACAAAAACAAAAAAUUGUUUGAAAGGGUUGGAUUGUGUGUG
rnacentral:lncRNA from 1 species